ACUUUUUUUAAUCAAAAAAUAAGCCAAGUAACCACAUUCUUUCGUAUUAUUUGAGUUAACCUCUAUCUUGAUGGAGUCGGAUUACAAUAAUCUUCAAUGUAUUUAUUCAAUUUCCGACCAUGAUUUCACCGUUUAAUAUUAGUUACAUGGUUACAUAUUCUAAGAAGAAGAUGGUAGCCCCGUCGAGGAGAACCCUAAAAAGAAAGUCAAGUGGAUCAAUCCUCUUGGAUUAGUAGACUAUGCCACCGAUGGCGAGUCCACUGACGAGGGCUCAAUCCAGUCACUAGAAAUUGGUUACACGUAUCUGUCCUCGUCAUCACCUUCUUCAUCCUCCGACGACUCUAGUAGUGGUUUCAGAUUCCAAGAGGAGGCAUCUUCAUGGAAUUCGGCUGCAGCUGGUGGGUUUGCAGCGUUUCCUAUGCUGAUUAACAAAGAUGACGAUGAGAAAGCAACUUCUUCUAUUAUUUGAGUUAACAUCUAUCUUCAUGGAGUCGGAUUUCAAUAAUCUUCCAUGUAUUUAUUCAAUUUCCGACCAUGAUUUCACUGUUUAAUAUUAGGUAAGCUAUAUAAUCCAAGUUUUAUUAGUCUUAAAUUUGUAAAAAUUUGGAAAAAGAGUGAGAGUAUAUUGCGGUUAUGAUGUUUUGUGUAAUUUUAGUGACAAAAUACUUUCACUUUCAGCUUUA